GCUGAGAUAGCUCAGUUGGUAAAGCAUGAGACUCUUCAUCUCAAAGUCAUGGUUUUGAGCCCAACAUUGGGCA